rnacentral:lncRNA from 1 species
UUAAAUCCCAUCCUUCUUUAGCUACAAAAACUUUGUUGUUGACUAAUUUUGGACAGUCCUUCUUGAAGUGUCCAAGCUGCUUACAUUCAAAACAUGUGUUUUCAUUUGGAUUGGUACUUCUGAAGUUGUUGUUAUUUGUUUUGAAAUUUCCUCCUUGCGUCUUUGGUUUGAAAAAUUGUUUGCCUUUGAAGUUGUUAUUUGUUUUCAUGAAUCC